CUGUCAAGAGGGAAAUGCCUUCACCAAGAUGUCAAAAGGCCAAACGGCUGGUAUCUACCAUCUUCCUGGCAGGUGGCUGAAGUGCUAAGAGUUACAGACCGACACCCAAACCAGCACCACAGCUGACACAGGGUGAAGCCCAGCUAUCAUAGCAGAGUAUGGGAAGAGUCACGUGCCACCACCCUGCCUCACAGGGGAAAAUAAAAGAAGUCACUCUGUACAGAAAUCCAGCGCUGCUGUUCUGAUUCCUGGCCACUCUCCAGGCCUAUUACAGACAAUGAAGACGACUGUGACUGAAUUCGGUGGGCUCUGUAUCGAGCCUGUGAAGAAAGGGAUGCAACACACCCCAGCGCUUCUCACAUGUGCUAGUCCACGACUCUUGGACUUCUGAAGAGACUCUAUGAAGAGUCCAAGGCUCUUCUUUAUCCUCAGCAUGGGGAGUCUGUGGUGGCUCCCGUGGCCUUAAUCACACAGCCCUGGCCCCGCCAAGGGAAGACGACGUGUUGACACAGAUGGAUUCUGCCCUUUUUGGUGGCGCAUUCCGUUUGCUUGGGCAACACAGCCAUCUGCCGGAUUACUCGCCCGAGCACCUCCGGUAGUGCCAGGGAGGCCUCAGUGCCAGAAAGCGGUCUGAAAAUGAUCCAAGACUGUCGCGUAGAUUUGAAAUCCCAUGGGAAACCAAGGGGGAGAGCAGGGAACAGAGCAGCCAUGAGCAGACGCGCAGCAUUUUGUGCUCGUUAGUGUUUCCCGGGCACAGCAACAGCAUCAGCAAGAGGGGCCAUGGCACUGCCUGCAAGACAGUCCCUGGACUAGCCAAGACGGCAGAAGGCACCACCUGAGGCUGCUGCCAUGGCGGAAUUUACCGCCAUCGAGGAACCCAAAAAUACAGCUCAAACUGACCAUUUGCGGAUAUGCAUUUUUCACCAAAGGGGAUGAUCAGGGCUUAAAAUGCCUUCUUCCCUUUUCCAUCAGCUUCACUGCGCUGCUGAUGUUUGGCUGCUGAGACUUGAUCUAAUCAAUGCUCAUAUAGGGAGGUUUGUCUGGCCUGGAAGAUGAUAUUAUUGAAUAGGUCUAUCAGAUUUGUCAGUGUCUUCGCUGACAAUUUUCAUGAAUAUAUAACAUUGAAAUAUAGCUCAUCCAUACUGACUUACUCUUUAUAGUGCUCAGAAUGGCUUGAAAAAAAUCUCUGUAAUUUGAUAAUGAGAAAGGAUAAAAUCAGUUAGGGGGAUAAUUGCUAAUAUCCAGAUCUUAAGAAGGGAAUAUAAAUAUUGAAGAAUAAAAAUAAAUAGGCAAAUGAAUAAACAAGAUGAAAACUCCUUGAUUGCCUAGACUCUGAAUGCAAAAAUGCCACCAAAACAGCCAACUUCUUUAUGCAUAUAAUGGAGAAAUUCAAGAAAACAUCAAUCACAGGACUUUCAGCUCAGACACUACAAUCCAAGGCAUACAUUACACUUAAAAUGUUUAAAAAUGCUCUUUCAUGGAAAUUGCAAGACAAAGCAUAUUUCUAUUGGAUUUGAGAG